rnacentral:rRNA from 1 species
AUUGAACGCUGGCGGCAUGCCUUACACAUGCAAGUCGAACGGCAGCAUGAUCUAGCUUGCUAGAUUGAUGGCGAGUGGCGAACGGGUGAGUCAUACAUCGGAACGUGCCCUGUAGUGGGGGAUAACUAGUCGAAAGAUUAGCUAAUACCGCAUACGACCUGAGGGUGAGAGUGGGGGACCGCAAGGCCUCAUGCUAUAGGAGCGGCCGAUGUCUGAUUAGCUAGUUGGUGAGGUAAAGGCUCACCAAGGCGACGAUCAGUAGCUGGUCUGAGAGGACGAUCAGCCACACUGGGACUGAGACACGGCCCAGACUCCUACGGGAGGCAGCAGUGGGGAAUUUUGGACAAUGGGCGAAAGCCUGAUCCAGCAAUGCCGCGUGUGUGAAGAAGGCCUUCGGGUUGUAAAGCACUUUUGUCCGGAAAGAAAUGGCUCUGGUUAAUACCUGGGGUCGAUGACGGUACCGGAAGAAUAAGGACCGGCUAACUACGUG